rnacentral:tRNA from 1 species
CUUCCAGUGGCUCAGCAGUAAAGAACCUGCCUACAAUGCAGGAGACGCGGGUUCGAUCCCUGAUCAGGAAGA